AUGGGAGCUGUCACCCAGCAUAUGAUGCUGCCUCUGCUGUUUACCAAGGAUGGGGAGAGAUUGAUGAUUACAUUUCACACUCUCAUCAUCAUCAGCGGAGGUGGCAUAUUUCUUGUCAGAAAUAACGACAGCUUGCACACGCUAUAACAAAGCAGAACAUCAACGCUGUCAAUGUCACCCCCAUAAGGAACAUGAAGGCCCACACGUCAACUCCUGCUGCAGCCUCCCAGCUCCUCCCUGUGUGUGCGUGUGCAUAUGUUGUAG
rnacentral:lncRNA from 1 species